rnacentral:tRNA from 1 species
GGGAAAGUGGCUCAGUGGUAGAGUGCUUGCCUUGCAUGCAUGAGACCCUGGGUUCAAUACCUCAGCACCA